AGCUGGUUCCCUCCGAAGUUUCCCACAGGAUAGCUGGAACUAAGCAGUUUUAUUAGGUAAAGCAAAUGUUUAGAGGAAUCGGGGACGUGUCCUCGACCUAUUCACAAACUUUAAAUGGGUAAGAUGCAGUGGUUGCUUGUGUGAUCUUCUGGGGUAAAUGCACUUUCUACGUGGGCCGUUUUUGGUAAGCAGAACUGGCGAUGAGGGAUGAACCUAACGUUGGAUUAAGGUGCCGAAAUGCUCGCUCAUCAGAUACCAUAAAGGGUGCUGGUUCAUUUUAACAGCAGGACGGUGGUCAUGGAAGUCGAAAUCCGCUAAGGAGUGUGUAACAAAUCACAUGCCGAAUGAACGA
rnacentral:rRNA from 1 species